UACGGAGGGUGCAAGCGUUAUCCGGAUUUAUUGGGUUUAAAGGGGCCGUAGGCGGAUCUGUAAGUCAGUGGUGAAAUCUCACAGCUUAACUGUGAAACUGCCAUUGAUACUGCAGGUCUUGAGUGUUAUUGAAGUAGCUGGAAUAAGUAGUGUAGCGGUGAAAUGCAUAGAUAUUACUUAGAACACCAAUUGCGAAGGCAGGUUACUAAGCAACAACUGACGCUGAUGGACGAAAGCGUGGGGAGCGAACAGG
rnacentral:rRNA from 1 species